UACGAAGGGGGCUAGCGUUGCUCGGAAUCGCUGGGCGUAAAGGGUGCGUAGGCGGGUCUUUAAGUCAGGGGUGAAAUCCUGGAGCUCAACUCCAGAACUGCCUUUGAUACUGGCGAUCUCGAGUCCGGGAGAGGUGAGUGGAACUGCGAGUGUAGAGGUGAAAUUCGUAGAUAUUCGCAAGAACACCAGUGGCGAAGGCGGCUCACUGGCCCGGUACUGACGCUGAGGUGCGAAAGCGUGGGGAGCAAACAGG
rnacentral:rRNA from 1 species